UAGGGGCCUCCAGGACCCAUCCCAAGCAUGUGGGACCCACCCUGAUACCCGACUGGCCUAUGGACAACAGCACACAAUCAUCAGGACACAAACAAAGCUGAAGAGCCUGUUUAAUAUGUGAAGAGUACAUCGGUUACUGUAGUCAGCCUGAUCCGGCCCAUAUCCAGACCAGAUGGUGGAUGGUGAACAACCACCUCACAGCCUUUCAUGGUCGGUGAAGACUUCAACGAGACAUGCCCUCAGGACAGAUGCUCUGCGAGAGCUCAGCGACUUGAUGAGCCCUCAGCACAGACCCUUACAGCCAGCUAUGGGGUCAAGCCAGGACCAGCCAGGACCUAUGUGCAGUUUUAUCGAGAAGAACGUUCAUAGUGCUUAAGGCUACAACUCUACCUUCAUUUUUUCCAACCUGCUGAACAGACUACAACUCUUUCCCACCAAAUGCCACCGUGAUGUACCUCGAUCAAUAUCACACCGCAUUCGUUCGCUUAGGCCAGAGGAGAACUGAGCACUGUUAUUGAUCUAAACCAGCACUGAACUGAAUUUUGCUAAAUAAUAACACUACAGUCUUUUAGAGCUAUUUUAAGGCAGAAUUUGAUUUGCUUCCAUAGUUGAGUUUCCAUAAUUGAUUCUGCUCUUUUCCUGUUUUUCUCUGUGAAGCUUGUUUGUCAGAAUCUGUAGUGUAUAAAGCGCUAUAGAAAUAAAGGUGACUUGACUUGCACAA